rnacentral:rRNA from 1 species
ACGUCGACCUCGGAUCAGGUAGG